rnacentral:rRNA from 1 species
UACGAAGGGGGCUAGCGUUGCUCGGAAUCACUGGGCGUAAAGCGCACGUAGGCGGAUCUUUAAGUCAGGGGUGAAAUCCUGGAGCUCAACUCCAGAACUGCCUUUGAUACUGGGGAUCUCGAGUCCGGGAGAGGUGAGUGGAACUCCGAGUGUAGAGGUGAAAUUCGUAGAUAUUCGGAAGAACACCAGUGGCGAAGGCGACUUACUGGACACAUAUUGACGCUGAGGUGCGAAAGCGUCGGGAGCAAACAGG